rnacentral:rRNA from 1 species
AGUGAACGCUGGCGGUAGGCCUAACACAUGCAAGUCGAACGGCAGCACAGUAAGAGCUUGCUCUUACGGGUGGCGAGUGGCGGACGGGUGAGGAAUACAUCGGAAUCUACUUUUUCGUGGGGGAUAACGUAGGGAAACUUACGCUAAUACCGCAUACGACCUACGGGUGAAAGCAGGGGAUCUUCGGACCUUGCGCGAUUGAAUGAGCCGAUGUCGGAUUAGCUAGUUGGCGGGGUAAAGGCCCACCAAGGCGACGAUCCGUAGCUGGUCUGAGAGGAUGAUCAGCCACACUGGCACUGAGACACGGUCCAGACUCCUGCGGGAGGCAGCAGUGGGGAAUAUUGGACAAUGGGCGCAAGCCUGAUCCAGCCAUACCGCGUGGGUGAAGAAGGCCUUCGGGCUGUAAAGCCCUUUUGUUGGGAAAGAAAAGCAGCAGGUUAAUACCCCGCUGUUCUGACGGUACCCAAAGAAUAAGCACCGGCUAACUUCGUG